rnacentral:lncRNA from 1 species
CUCAGUAAUUAUGCCACAUCAAUGUACUGGUAAGAAGAGCUUUGGCAAGAUUCUUUUAUGGCUACACCCAGAGCCUUGGGCUCCUCCAACCCCACUUCCCGUGUUUCUCAGGAAAGCCUCAAUGAAGCUGGAGAGAAGCAGAGGGAGGGGCCAGCCCAGUGCUCUGCGUGGUGGUGGGUGGGGGCCAAGAGCGUCGAGGGCAGACUAAUAGAGGCCGUGUGGGUUAGAAAGAAAAUAUUCGUUAGCACUUCUGGAAAAUUCUAUGAUGCAUACACUACACAACGCAUUAUUUUAGAUUUCAUUAAAUGACCUAUGUUCUAGUUAGAAGCCUGUAGAAAACAAUAAAAAUUUAGAACAACCUAAAUAUAUAGAACAGGAAGUAGAACUGAGUAAAUCAGAGUUUAUUCAUAUGAUGGAACAAGAUGCAGUCAUUAAAAAUUAUGUUUUCAAAGAUAUUUGAUAAUAUGAAAAAGACACCUGAUAGGAGAUUGCCAUUUCCGUAUGACAAAAUGGCUGAAUAUUAGCAAUUUCUUAUGAUUUAAUCCAGUAAUAAAACUGUUACUACAAUACAAUACUCCAAUUUUGAAGGGAAGAAACUACAUAGAACUACAUACAAAUACAACUGAGUGUCUUCUGCAUGUUAAGUUCGUUAUUAUUAUCUCAAAUCCUCAGAAGCCCUGUGGGAUGGCUACUAUUCUUAUCUCCACUUUACAGAUGAGGAAACUGAGUCUCAUUGGGUUUUGAGUAGUAAAUAUGUUAGGCUUAUUGCAAGUCCCAAGUUUAGUAGGGAGCAAGGAGAAAACGACAUUUUUUUUUUCCCUUCCCUGUCACUUCAAACCCACUCCCUUCGUUCCCACCAGGGGAUGUUACAGGUCCCAUGGUUUUCCUGGGUGACCACAGACAGGCUUCUUCUCACCUUCAUAGCCUGGUUCCCCCGGUGCCUCUAACUCCUGAACACCACUUGAGCUUCCUUCCCUUCCUUCUUCCCCUUCCUUCCCCCGCUUGACUUGUAGAGAGUGGAACAUGGUGUCUGUCCUCUCCCUGCCAGCCUGAGCAUGCGAACCCAAGCUUCAAGGUCUCUUAGGUGUCCUGGUAGGUGCUUUCCAUCUUCCAUAUGGCUCAUGGGACACAGAACGCUUGUUCUGCCGUGGACUUUUAGACAAAACUCUGAGACAACUGAAAUAGUUGCACCUAACACUCUGUUAAUUUUGCAAAGGGCCACACAGAAAAUGGCAAGGCUAGAUCUGAAUGUAAGUCUCUCCGGCUCAGUAACCUCAUCUGCCUCUCUACAGCAAUUAAUUUAAAAGAAAAUGGUUUGAGGCCAGGCGGGGUGGCUCACGCCUAUAAUCCCAGCACUUUGGGAGGCCAAGGUGGGCGGAUCACCUGAGGUCAGGAGUUCGAGACCAGUCUGACCAACAUGGUGAAACCCCAUCUCUACUAAAAAUACAAAAAUUAGCUGGGCAUGGUGGUGCAUGCCUGUAAUCUCAGCUACUCAGGAGGCUGAGGCAGGAGAAUUGCUUGAACCCGGGAGGCAGAGGUUGUGGUGAGCCGACAUUGUGCCACUGCACUCCAGCCUGGGUAACAGAGUGAGACACUGUCUCAAAAAAAAAAAAAAAAAAAAAAAAGAAGUGGUUUAUACUUGGCAGAAGGAUUUCAAAUAGGGAGCUUCCUUCACAGAUGUAUGUGUUUAAAGGUCAGUCAAUGAGUAGUAGAGCUGUUUUGAGCUCAAGAACAUGGAGCCACAGCUAGGAGAAGAUUAAAUGAAAAAAAUUCCCAAAAAAGAAAAGAAAAAGGAAAAUACCCCCCACCAAGAUCUCAGUCACUUUCCAAAUCAAGAUCCCCCACACAUCUUGCUCAGCUUCUCAUCCUCAACUUAGAUGGUGCCAGAGAUCCCAAUCAAGAUCAUAUCUAGAAGGCAGAAAUCUCCAGGAAGAACUCCACCAAGACGAAUGCCUGUUCUACCCAGGCCUAGGAGAAAUGGCUGUGCAGUGGGAGGAUGAACGCAUUCAUCAGCAUUCUUGUCCAGGAGUAGCUCAUCAUCCUCUCCUGUCAUUUCUGGUCACCACCAAAGAAGUCUUGCAAAAGGACAUCUAGUCUCUAGUUAAGGCAAUUAACUAGUGAAUUAACCAUUGAAUUGCACACUAAACGGGUGAAUUGUAUGGUAUAUGAAUUAUACAUCAAUAAAGCUGUAUAUAUACUGUGUAUGUAUGUGUGUGUAUGUAUAUAUAUAUAGUGUGUGUGUAUAUAUAUACAUACAAUAGAAAUUCUAAGGAACCAAGCAAUAAAUCUAAGAAAAAUUGCCAAAUAAUGGAGAAAAUAAUAUGGUACAUUUAAAAACAUUUAAAAGGUAAACUAGAAAUAUGCCAUAUUAAUAGACAGGAAGAAUCAUAUAACAAAAACAUGUCAGUUGUCCCCAAAUUCAAAACAAUUUGAAUACAAAUCUCAUUUGUAUUUUCGGGAAACUUGAUAAACAAUUCUAAGAUUUAGGUAGAAGAACAAAGAAAAAUGGUUAGCCAAGACAAUCUAGAAGUAGAAAAAGAUGGGAAUGGUUCCUCUAUCAAGACUUGGGAUGAAACUUAGCUAAUUAAGACAAUACGUUGUAGUGCAGGGAUAGAAAGUUGACUAAUGGAACAAAUUAAUGAGUCUAGAAAUGGACCUGUCAAUCUUUGGAAAUUUGACUUACGGUGGAGAGGACGAUGCAGAUCAGUGGUGGAGAAGGAACUGCUCAGUGAGUGGUGCUGGGGCAAUUGUCUCUCCACAUAGAAAAAUAUGGAAUUGUAUCUCUGUUUCACACCAUAUAUCAAUAUAAAUCCCCAAUGGAUUAAGGGCUUAAGUGUGAAAAUAAAUAUUUUAAAAGUUAUGGCUGAGUGCGGUGGCACACGCCUGUAAUCCCAGCACUUUGGGAGGCCG